GAUGAACGCUGGCUGCGUGCUUAACACAUGCAAGUCGAACGGAAAGGCCCCUUCUGGGGUCCUCGAGUGGCGAACAGGUGCGUAACACGUGAUUAACCUGCCCUUGACUUCGGGUUAACUUCAGGUAACUGGGCCUAAUACCGGAUAGUACUCCUUGCUGUCUGUUGGGGGUUUCAAAUCUUCGGCGGGUGUGGGUGGACUCGCGGCUUAUCUGCUUGUUGUUGGGGUAGUGGCUUACCAAGGCGUUGACGGGUAGCCGGCCUGAGAGGGGGACCGGACACACUGGGAAUGAGACUAGGCGCAGAAGCAGACGGGAGGAAUCAGUGGGGAACGUAGGACAAUGGGAGCAAGCCUGAGGCAACAACGACGCGUGUAGGAGGAGGGAAUUGGGGUUGUGAGCCGAUUUAGGCAGAGGCGAGGCUUGUGGUGAAGGUACCGGAAGAAGAAGCACCGGCUAACUACGUG
rnacentral:rRNA from 1 species